GGGGAUAUGGCUCAGUUGGUAGAGUGCUUGCCUCAUGUACAAGGUCCUGGGUUCAAUUCCCAGCACCACCU
rnacentral:tRNA from 1 species